UGCCCCUCUGGGCUCUUAGAACUGUGUUCCCAGACUCUAAAUCCUCCCGGGAUCUUAGGCUCUUCCAGCACAGAGCUUCUCUUUCUCUUCAUUCUCUUGCCUUUCUUUGUGUAGAACCGUGGCCAAAGAAUGACCUUGGAAGUUCAUGCCAUCCGCCCCCUGGCUCUGGGCUGGGCAGUGGAGAGAGAGGGAGGCCCAUCAAGUGAGACCUUCGUGGGGGUGUUGAACUGGAAUCUUCCCUUGGCGAGGACUCGUCCCCUGAAUGGUCUGGGCUCUCAUGUUACCCCUGUCACCUUGUGCUAGGACUGCGUUCUCAUCAAAGACAAAGGCGCCUGUGUUCCCAGGAUCUGUUUUCAGCCGCGCAGGAGCUGGGAUAAUAGCCUGCAGGACUCACCCAAACUUCUGCACGUGGCAGCUUUUCAGGCCCCGAUGGCUAGCCAUCCCCCUCUGCAUUGGUCCAGCCAUCUUGAACUCUCUCCUCACCUUGAACCUGUUUCACUUACUCAUGCCUCCCGAUCUGCGCGGGCUUGCUCCUCUCUGCCUCUUCGUCAUGAUGCAAACUCUUACCCAUCCA